GAGACAGUCGGCGGGCAGCCUCGUGGACAGGAAAACACUGGGUCUCAGCCUCUUGAGAAUGGGCCUCCUCUGUGUUGGAAGAAAAGCAGCGGAAGGACACUGGACCCAAGGUUUGCUGGGCAGGACAGCCCUACCUACUCCCAGUCCUUACCUUGCAUCCUUCGCGAGCAGAAAUAGUUAACCAAGUUGGAGAUCAUCUGGGAAACGUCCUUUUGGUAAUAAGGAGGUCCGAAUAUCAAAAUCUCGGCAUCCUCUUCCGGGAGCCACUGGGUGACUUUAAGCAAGGUACUCACCAAAGAUCGCUUCCACGAGCCAAGCAUUCACAUACAGUGCUUUUGGAUCAUCCAGAUGCUCGGUAUAAAACCACUCGGGCAGCGUGCUGGAGUCUCCGAC